AAAAAGGGUACUCGCUACUUCAAUAGCGCGUCGACUUUGCUAAAGCAGAUCGGCGGGGUAUGGCUAUCAAGACAUACUCAGUACGUAAUUUUUGAAUUUGAGGUGUUGGCUGCCAUUUGCAUCGAUACCUCU